rnacentral:tRNA from 1 species
GGUCGCUUAGCUCAGUUGGUUAGAGCGUGGUGCUAAUAAGCUCUCUUGAUAACGCCAAGGUCGCAGGUUCGACCCCUGCAGUGAUCA